GGAAGAGUCAGUGCUCGGAGGAGCUGCCUAUGAGAAACAUCAAGGAGCUCAACCACCUGCAGGUUCUCCACCUGGGCCCAGCUCUACAAGCAGGUUUGCUGCCUGUCCCUGCCCCAGGAAAAGGGUCUCAGUGAAGUCUGCUCUGCAUUGACCACAGGAAAGGAGAUGUACAGAAGAGAGCCAGUGAUGAUAUGUUGUCAAGAAAUGUGUUUUUCUAACACCUGCUGAGCAAAACAGGAUCUCUAGUGUGCUGCAAUAGUGGCUAUACUGCUCUGAAGGUUGUUCUGACUUCAAGUCCUAAGUAAAAGAACUUCUUACAGAGGAGGCUCCCCAGCUUCCCAGAAGAGAAAUCCUGGCAAAGGGAAUUUCCCAGGAAGUGUGACGGUGAUAAAAGAGGUGUUCAGGAUAGAAUUUGGGCUCUGAUGCUACACACUCUGUUCCCUUGAGAUCUUCCAAGAGAAUCUGUCAAUGACCUGAAAGGAGGAUAAUCUUGUCUGUCGUCUUCUCUCAAAAGUCCAAGAAAAAUGAAUGCAUCAGAUAAAGCUCAUGUCUUACAUGAUUGUUUUUAUGUCAAGUUUUGGAUACACCCAUGCCAUUUUUUGGAUAUUUUCAGCUGAGGAUUCAUUGUGGAUUUAUGAGGUCUCUCUUGCUACAUCAUCCUCCUGACUCAGCAGAAUCUGCUGUGAAAAUGAAUGAUGUUGCACCAGAAUAGACUCUGACCCGAGAACAGCCUUGCAUUGUGUGCCACCAAAAGAGCAAGUGUAGUCUCUGAAUGCUUUGAGCUAUGCAAUUUCUUCAGCAGUACUCCUGUUACUCUGUGCCCCUGGAAAGGACUGGAAGAAGAUUAUCUGCCUUUCACAGAAGAAAGCAUUACAAGUAUCAAAUGUGUGCUGUUCUCUUGGUGACGUGAUUUGGCUGUUCAACCCUGACUGCGAGAUGCCUGCCCCUGCGGAUGUAAGUAAUCUUUUUCAAACAGUCAAAGUUAGAUCACCAAUUUCCCUGCACUAAGUGGUUUAUCACCAAUUAAAAUUUUCUGGAGUGUUAGCAGCAUCUUAUAAAAAGUAACUUGUUCUGGUAUGUGUGCUGCUACUCUCAUGCUAGACAGUUCUUUGGUAGCUAAGCCACCACUGAAGGAGAGGAGACAAGUCACUCUUUAUCUCAUCCCUGAGUUUAUAGUUACUUUAAUCCUGGAAAGAUGCUUGCUUAUUUGCCCAAAGGCAAAAGGCAAGCAGGGACUAGCAUCUGGAUUUGCUCAGGCCACUAACAAGCAGUCCCCAUUUAAAAAAAGGUACACAUGUCCUCCUGGUCUGUCUUUGUUGUCCUCUCCUAACAGACUUCAGCACAUUUCCUGCCCUCUGGGGAACUGACUGGGCAGAUAUGUCAUUGCAUUUAGCAUGUGCUGUGCUGAGAUCAUAAAUCCUGCUGAGAGGAGCCUUCAAAGCUCAGGUGAAGCAACUCACUCAGUAUCACUACCCAGAAUUUGGGGAUCUUGCUGGCCUGCACUUCAGCCCAGUGCAUGGACAGAGGGAGUGUAUUAGAGGCAUGCUUUCAGCUUUUCUUGCAUAAGAGAGCUGUUUCAGGGGUUUUUUGGAAGUAGCUCUGGUUCAGCAGUAGCUCCUCAGGAUCAGGUGCCAUUUGCAGGGAAGGGGUGAGAAGCAAUACUUGCUUGGGAUGUGGGAAACACAGGAA